CCCACCUUAGCUUAGUUGGGAAAGCGCAUCCAUCGUCGCUGUACGUUGGAUGAGACACGGGUUCGAUCCCCGUAGGUAGGG
rnacentral:tRNA from 1 species